rnacentral:rRNA from 1 species
UACGUAGGGCGCAAGCGUUGUCCGGAAUUAUUGGGCGUAAAGAGCUCGUAGGCGGUUUGUCGCGUCUGCUGUGAAAAGCCCGGGGCUCAACCCCGGGUCUGCAGUGGGUACGGGCAGACUAGAGUGCAGUAGGGGGAGACUGGAAUUCCUGGUGUAGCGGUGAAAUGCGCAGAUAUCAGGAGGAACACCGAUGGCGAAGGCAGGUCUCUGGGCUGUAACUGACGCUGAGGAGCGAAAGCAUGGGGAGCGAACAGG